AUUCAAUCCCAACUCCUCUUGGCCAGAAGCCCACAUCAACUAAUAAAAAAGAAUUGCUAAUUGCAGAGUGCACUUGCCCAGCUGAGGCAUUGGAGCAGGGCAUUUUGAUAGCGGCUGGAGGGCAGGCAGCUCAACCUCUAAACCCCCCUGGUCUGGGCACCAAGUCCUGUCCUGGGCACGGAGCACCAUCCUCCAGUAAGACCAAACCCAGCUUCUCUACAGCACCAGGAAGAAGGGAACCCAGCUGGCACAAUGUGUGAAUCAAUGCAUGAAGGAGGGAGUGAGCAGCUAACCAAAUGAAGGAACACUCAAAUAUCUGGGAUACGGUUCCCCUCCAGGUCUGCACAGCGUCUGCUGAAGUCUCCACUAGAAUCUCAACGGAAGGUCCCCACCAGAAACUGAAAGUCUCCUCAAGUGGCUUUGAGUUGCGGUUUCACCCUCCCUGCAGAUCCACAGUUUCCAUCCAGCUGUUUGGUAUUGGAUACUGCUGCCUCUGCUUGACGUGAGAGUGUGUGAAGAAAGCUGCGUUUAGACAACUGAAAACCAUGAGCUUGAAAGUAGUGGGGGCACCCUCUUGGAGACUCCAGUUGCUCACCAGCUUGGACAAACCACUGGAUUCAAAUGAUCAGGCAGAAAUAAUCACCGGAGAGAACACAGUGGAAUGGCUUCAGUCAAAACUCACUGCUGAAGGUCUUCAGGGCAACUUUAAGACUUGCCCCUGACUGGGCAUGGUGGUUAACGACUGUAAUCCCAGCAUUUGCAAGCCUGAGGCGGGUGGAUCACCUGAGGUCAGGAGUUCAAGACCAGUCUGGUUAACAUGGCGAAACCCUGUCUCUACUAAAAAUCCAAAAAAUUAGCCGGCAUGGUAGUGGGUACCUGUAAUUCCAGCAACUUGGGAGGCUGAGGCAGGAGAAUUGCCUGAACCUGGGAGGCAGAGGUUGCAGUGAGCUGAGAUCGCACCACUGCACUCCAGCCUGGACAACAAGAGCAAAACUCCAUCUCAAAAAGAAAAAAGAAAAAAAAAAAAAAAAAGACUUGCCCUGGCUUUUUGUGUGAUGAACUUUCUAUUUACAGACGUGAUAUUUAUCUAUGACUUUACUCAGAGUCUGGCUCGUAGACCAGAAGGAUUGGUAUCUCCUGGAGCUUGCAGGAAAUGCAAAAUCUCAAACCCCUGUAUUAGGGUUCUCCAGAGAAGUAGAACUAAUGGGAUAGAGACAGGGAUAGGGAUGACAGAGAUGGAGAUGAGAUGGAGAUAGAAAUAGAGAUCCAUUGAUUCCUUUGUCAAAAAAAAUGGCUCAUGCAAUUGUGACCAUUUCAAAAUCUGCAAGGCAUGUCAGCAAGCUGGAGAUCCAGGGAAGAGUUGAUGUUGCAGCUUGAGUACAAAGGCGGUGUGUCUGAGGCCAUAAUGUCUUCUUCUUAGGAGGACUUCAGUCUUUUCUCUUCCGGCCUUCAGCUGCUUGGGUGAGGCCCAUCCGCACUAUAGAAGAUAAUAGUCUGUUCUACUCAGAGUCUACUGAUUUAAAUGCUAAUCUUAUCCCCAAAAAAUACCCUCACAGAAACAUCUAGCCUGGCAUUUGACCAAACAGCUGGGUACCAUGCCCCCCUGCCAAGCUGACACACAAAAUUGACCAUCAUACCCUCCCACCCGCAAUCUUACUGAAUGAGAGAGAAUCUGGGCUUUAACAAGAUCCCCAGAAGAGGUAUAAGCGCAGGGAGUCUGAGAAGUACCACCUUGGAGGUUUAGCCAGAUGUCCUAGAUGAGCCUUCUCUGAAUAUGUCAGAUUCCUUCCCUGGCCCCCUAGACACCUUUCCCACUUCCCAAAGUUGGAAGCAACAUCGUGGAGAAGCAGGCAGUGAGGCGCUCAGCUUACCACAUUGUGAGAUACACAGUCCGAUCUGUGUACCAUGAUUUGACCCAAGGGAAAACAAAAGACCCAGAAACAUAAGGACUUUUUUGUGAGCUCUCAAAAACUUCCUGCAACAAGAUCAGGUCCUUGAUGCAAGAGCCACACUUGUUUCUUUUUCCUCUUUAUCCUCCACCCCUGACAAAUGCCUAGCACAUAAAAAAAAACUAAUAAACACCACUGAAUCCAUUAUCCAAACUUCAGUUUCCCACUUAUAAUAUGUAGAUACUUACCUGGUUGUGGUGGGAAAGAAACCAGGCAUGAGAAACACUUAAAAGCCCAGGACCCUGAGCUGGGCACACAGUAGGUACUCAGGAAGUCAUUACCAAGUGCUCAGUGCAUGCUUGUUGAAUGAGUAAAUGAGGUCAGGCUUCAGCAUGCAAACACUUACUAUAAAGCAGGAACCCUGUGCCCCGAGUGCAC
rnacentral:lncRNA from 1 species